UUUUAUUUGAGAGUUUGAUCCUGGCUCAGGAUGAACGCUGGCGGCGUGCCUAACACAUGCAAGUUGAGCGAUUUACUUCGGUAAAGAGCGGCGGACGGGUGAGUAACGCGUGGGUAACCUACCCUGUACACACGGAUAACAUACCGAAAGGUAUGCUAAUACGGGAUAAUAUAUUUGAGAGGCAUCUCUUGAAUAUCAAAGGUGAGCCAGUACAGGAUGGACCCGCGUCUGAUUAGCUAGUUGGUAAGGUAACGGCUUACCAAGGCGACGAUCAGUAGCCGACCUGAGAGGGUGAUCGGCCACAUUGGAACUGAGACACGGUCCAAACUCCUACGGGAGGCAGCAGUGGGGAAUAUUGCACAAUGGGCGAAAGCCUGAUGCAGCAACGCCGCGUGAG
rnacentral:rRNA from 1 species